GUGCUCGCUUCAGCAGCACAUACACUAAAAUUGACCGAUACAGAGAUUAGCGUGGCCCCUGCGCAGGGGUGACACACAAAUCCGCGAAGCGUUCAAAAAAAAA